rnacentral:snRNA from 1 species
AAAGGCAGGGGAGACACCAUAAUCAGGCAGGUGGUUUUCCCAGGGCGAGGCUCAUCCCCUGCUCUCCGGGUGUGCUGACCCCUGUGAUUUCCCCAAAUGUGGGAAACUCGACUGCAUAAUUUGUAGUAGUGGGGGACUGCGUUCGUGCUCUCGUA